rnacentral:rRNA from 1 species
GACGUAGGGUGCGAGCGUUGUCCGGAUUUAUUGGGCGUAAAGCGCUCGUAGGCGGCUCGUCGCGUCGACCGUGAAAACCCACAGCUUAACUGUGGGCUUGCGGUUGAUACGGGCGGGCUAGAGUUCGGUAGGGGAGACUGGAAUUCCUGGUGUAGCGGUGAAAUGCGUAGAUAUCCGGAGGAACACCAGUGGCGAAAGCGGCCACCUGGACUGCACCUGACGCUGACACGCGAAAGCUAGGGGAGCGAACGGG